rnacentral:rRNA from 1 species
UGAACGCUAGCGACAGGCUUAACACAUGCAAGUCGAGGGGCAGCGGGGGUAGCAAUACCCGCCGGCGACCGGCGCACGGGUGAGUAACGCGUAUGCAACUUACCUAUCAGAGGGGGAUAACCCGGCGAAAGUCGGACUAAUACCGCAUGAAGCAGGGGCCCCGCAUGGGGAUAUUUGCUAAAGAUUCAUCGCUGAUAGAUAGGCAUGCGUUCCAUUAGGCAGUUGGCGGGGUAACGGCCCACCAAACCGACGAUGGAUAGGGGUUCUGAGAGGAAGGUCCCCCACAUUGGUACUGAGACACGGACCAAACUCCUACGGGAGGCAGCAGUGAGGAAUAUUGGUCAAUGGCCGAGAGGCUGAACCAGCCAAGUCGCGUGAGGGAUGAAGGUUCUAUGGAUCGUAAACCUCUUUUAUAAGGGAAUAAAGUGCGGGACGUGUCCCGUUUUGUAUGUACCUUAUGAAUAAGGAUCGGCUAACUCCGUGCCAGCAGCCGCGGUAAUACGGAGGAUCCGAGCGUUAUCCGGAUUUAUUGGGUUUAAAGGGUGCGUAGGCGGCCUUUUAAGUCAGCGGUGAAAGUCUGUGGCUCAACCAUAGAAUUGCCGUUGAAACUGGGGGGCUUGAGUAUGUUUGAGGCAGGCGGAAUGCGUGGUGUAGCGGUGAAAUGCAUAGAUAUCACGCAGAACCCCGAUUGCGAAGGCAGCCUGCCAAGCCAUUACUGACGCUGAUGCACGAAAGCGUGGGGAUCAAACAGGAUUAGAUACCCUGGUAGUCCACGCAGUAAACGAUGAUCACUAGCUGUUUGCGAUACACUGUAAGCGGCACAGCGAAAGCGUUAAGUGAUCCACCUGGGGAGUACGCCGGCAACGGUGAAACUCGAAGGAAUUGACGGGGGCCCGCACAAGCGGAGGAACAUGUGGUUUAAUUCGAUGAUACGCGAGGAACCUUACCCGGGUUUGAACGCAUUCGGACCGAGGUGGAAACACCUUUUCUAGCAAUAGCCGUUUGCGAGGUGCUGCAUGGUUGUCGUCAGCUCGUGCCGUGAGGUGUCGGCUUAAGUGCCAUAACGAGCGCAACCCUUGCCACUAGUUACUAACAGGUAAAGCUGAGGACUCUGGUGGGACUGCCAGCGUAAGCUGCGAGGAAGGCGGGGAUGACGUCAAAUCAGCACGGCCCUUACAUCCGGGGCGACACACGUGUUACAAUGGCGUGGACAAAGGGAGGCCACCUGGCGACAGGGAGCGAAUCCCCAAACCACGUCUCAGUUCGGAUCGGAGUCUGCAACCCGACUCCGUGAAGCUGGAUUCGCUAGUAAUCGCGCAUCAGUCAUGGCGCGGUGAAUACGUUCCCGGGCCUUGUACACACCGCCCGUCAAGCCAUGGGAGCCGGGGGUACCUGAAGUCCGUAACCGAAAGGAUCGGCCUAGGGUAAAACUGGUGACUGGGGCU